AACUCUAAAUUGUUAAACAGGUGGUGGCCUUGGACUUCAAUCAGUAGAAGGUAGUACUAGUUUCCUACCCCAGUAAUUCCUGCUUUUCAACCUCCAUUGAUUUCUUAAUAGAUUUAAUUUUAUUUGACCAUAAACUGGCAUUUAUUUCUAAACAAAAAGAAUAGCAAAAUAUAAAUAUAGUCUUUAAGAAGACAAUAUCUUCUCAAACUAGAAGGGUGCUAGUUUUAGAAGUGAAAAAGUUCAAAGAAUUAAAAAUCCAUCUCUGCUUUUUAUGUGUAGACAAAAAUUCUAUGUAGAUACAGUAUUUUAAAUAGGAUUUGUCUGCUCAUAUUAGUGUAAUGUAUUUGGAAAAUAAUUUGGAAAUUAUAUGAAAAACAUGAAAGUGUACUGAAGCAAUAAGUCAACUUCUAGGAAUUAUUCCUAAGGAAAUAAUCCUAAAUAUAUUUAAAAAACCCCUAUGUGGUCAAAUAUAUUUAUAAUUGUGAAAAAUGUAAAUCUUUCUCAAGAGGUAUAAAGUCACACUAACUAUGCUAAAUCACAUUACAGUUACAUUAACAAAAACAAGGCAAUAAAAUGAAAAUUUAUGACAAAUUAAGUAAAAAACCCCAGAAAUUUUCUUUGAUGCAAUUGAUACAAAGUUCACUAAAAAUAGGCAAUGACUUAAGUUAUUUACAGAAGAAAACUCGAUAUGCUAAUAGUGGUUGUAGUUUAAAUAUUUUUCAUCUUUUUAAUUUUUAUUUAUAUUUUAUUUUAGUUAUUUAGUUUUGCUCUUUGAGCCACACUCCUGACUUAUGGAAGUCGUCAGAUUAGGGUUACAGCUGCCGGCCAGGCGCCAGGCUACCGUUGCCGGCCUGUUGCCACAGACACAACAAUGUGGGAUCCGAGCCGCGUGUGUGACCUACACCACAGCUCAUGGCAACACCGGAUCCCCGACCAACUGAUUGAGGGCAGGGAACCUCAUGGACCCUCGUCAGACUAAUUUCUGCUGCACCACAAUGGGAACUCCCUCAACUUUUUUUAAAUUAAAAAAAUCAUAUUACUUUUGUAAUAAAGAAUGUGAAACAUGAGAAGCUGCCUUGCUAACCCAGACAUAGAUAUCAAAUUAACCUAGGCCUAAUGCUUGUACAAACCAUCUUUCACCACUAUAAUAAUUUAAGAUUAUGUUCAAUGUAAGAAUUUUUAAGAGUGAAAGGGCCAGAACAUUAGAGGUCACACAAUCUGCAUUUCCAUUGACAUGUAGCUGUAACAACAUCAGUAGCAAGGUAGACCAAAACCCUAGUAUUUUAAUUCUUAGUCCAAAAUCUUUUAAACCCCCCAACAUUCUACUGUAAAAAAAUCUUUCUUAAUGAAGGUGAAGUUAUUGUUUACUUGUUUACAUAAGGAAUUACCAAUUUAUUACAUGGUACACAUACAGCCUGAUACAAUGGGAUUCUAGUCUGUUGUGUCAUGAAUGUUACUUAUUGAAAACAAACGUGUUAUAGGCAGUAAUAUACUGGUUGUAAUAAAACAUUAAAUAUAUAAUUACCAAUAUUUAUGUAGGAUUUGAGGAUGGAGGGAAAAGUAAGGGCCCAUAUCUAUUUAGGGAAGUUUGCAUGAUGUCAUCUUGACACAUUACAAGUUACAUUUUUAGGAAAUUAGGAUACUAAUUGGACUCUUUUCCAACUAAUUUUUUUUUUUUUUUGGUAGCAAGUACAGGCAUUUAUUAACUUAUUCAUUCACUUAAUAGGUACUUAUCCAAAAGCUACGAUGUGCCAUUUGCUCUACUUAGUACAGGAGAGGUAAUGAUUAGAAAACAUACAUAGCAACACUGAAAAUAAUUCCUUUUUUAUUCUUCUUUCCAAAGAGGACCAUUACAUUUUAUAAAUGUUAGGCAUCCCAAAACAAUCAUUGUGGAUGAUCCCUAAGUCAUUAUCUCUUGGGGUCUUGAUGAAAAAACUAAAAUCGAGGGAAGGAAAUAAAGUGGAUAGAGACAUUGAGUGCUCUGGUGUUAAUUUAUAUAUAAAUGGCUAAGGACAGGAAGGUAUGCACUGUCUCCACUAUGUAGUUUAUGAUAUAUGUCUUUAAAUUUCCCUAAAGUGAAACUACAAUAUUGCCCUUGUCUUAAAGAUUUAAUAUGUACCAUGUAAGGUCAAUAGUUUUUGAGUUGGCUAUACUUAAAAAGCAUGUAAUGAUAAAUUAUUGCUAAUAUGUAGAGACAAGUAUUUGUCUCCGUCCAAUGAUAAUGGUUCUUUUAUUGGGAAAAAGCCAGUUGAAAUGCACAGUGGAAACUUAACCCCUAAAGUAGCAGAUUUUCUGGGUGCAGGGAAAAGCUUCAACAUAUGAAAUGUUAUUAAUGACGCUCCCUACUGCCACAAAUAAGAGGCUAUUCCUUAGGAUUUAUUUUUGAGUCUCUAAGGCUUUAAUCAAUUUUGCCUAAUUGAAUUGAUGCAAAACUGGAAAAGUGAAGGCUUGGGAACCUUGUGAAGAUAUUAUGGGAUACACACACUGGAUAGGUAGAUAGAUAAUAGUUUGUUCUCCUUGAGAUCAUCUCUGUUUGUAGUAUUAUUGCCUUUUAUGACCAGAAUUCUUACCUCAAAUGUGUAGAAAUACAUGUGCAUUCAAGUUUUCAUGUUUAUAUACAGUGGUACUAUUACUGAAUCCUGGCAUUAAGAUUAAAGAAUGGAAGGAAAAGAAAUACUGGCUAAGAGACUCUAGGAAGUUUGGGAGAAGAAUCGUCAAACCCAGCUGCCAACAUUUCUUUGGUCCAUGAGAAGUACCAUAGGUCAGCCCAGUUUGAAAGACCCCCUUGUUUGACAUCUGCCUCAGCAACAAUUACAAAUGCUCCUGUAGUCUGGAGCCAAGGCUUAGACUGACUUCAUGUUUAGUAGUGGAAAUAGCUUGACACCAGGAAAACAGAGUGCAUAAUGGAAACUCCGAGGAGCCUUUUGUCGUGUUGGUCUCCUGUGGUGAAUGCUGGGAAUAGUAAUAAUUUAUUUAAAAUAUCCUAGGUGGAGACAAAGGUCUUGGUGUAUCCAAGCCACACCACUCAGAUGAAUAGCGUCAUCUAAGAGAAAACCAUCAUGUAAUAACGUGAAUCCCAUCCUUGUCAGUAAGGUCAGGAGGUGCCCCUAGGCUGAGGACCUACCUUAUGUUUCAGCAAGCCUCUUUCUGGGGCAGGGUUGUCUAAACGGGAUGACUGUGGAUGAAAUGUGUGUAGGGGAGAUUCUAAAUCAGACACGGGAGCACGGUGAAUGGUUCCUGUGUUUUUAAAAAUUGUGAUGGUUAUCUUUUGGUAUCUCAUUUUCAAACCUACUCAGAAGGACAGAAAAUAGAUGAGGAGUAUUUCUCCAGACAUAGGAAGUUUCUAUUUUCUAACAGUUUUUUUUUGGCUCCCGAAUAUAAUCUGUCUUUAUUUCUUUUCGCUGUCUGAUUGUUUGGUGUUUGAAAGAACCAGAACCCCAGACGUCUUUUAUUUUAAAAGAAUUAGUUAGUCCUAAACUUUGGUGUAAUCAUAAUGCCUAAAAUUAGAUGAUAUUUAGCUCAAGACCAGAAUUAAAACAAUUUAAAAUAAACAAACACUAUUAUCUUGAUAAAUUUAUUUUUUAAAAUAUAAAUUAGCAAAGAUCCUUAACAUUAAAAUUUAACUCUACCAAUGUUUAACUUAACGGUAGCAUUUUUAUGAUAUUAAGAAUAAUUUCUUUUAUUAUUAUUUAUUUAUUUAUUUAUUUUUUUAGGGCUGCACCUGUGGCAUAUGGAAGUUCCCAGGCUAGGGGAUGAAUCAGAGCUGCUGCUGCUAGCCGAUGCUACAGCCACAGCCACUUGGAAUCUGAGCCACAUCUUUGACCUAAACCACAGCUCAGGACAACACCAGAUCCCCAACUCACUGAGCCAGGCCAGGGAUCAAACCUGCAUCCUCAUGGAUUCUAGUCGGAUUAAUUUAGGCUGUGCCAUGAAGGGAACUCCUGUCUUUUAUUUUAUAUAUUGACUUGUCAAGUUUCCACCCAUGCUUUUCUCCUCUUAAUCGUCACAACAUCCCUAUGAGGAUAUUGAGGUAGGUAUCAUUACUCCAGUUGUACAGAUAAAACCAAGGUUCAUUUUUUGUCCUUAGGACACAAGUUCCAGGUUCUUCUCCAUAGGCCACAUUGCCUUAUCAUCAGAUGCUGUCACAGUCAGGUUUGUAAGGUAGUGCAAAGCUCAAUUUCCACAUCAAUCUCGUGUAGCAUUGUUUUUUAAGGUAUACUGUAAAUUCUUGAGAUUAUGUAAAUUACAUAAGUAACUGCUAUUAUAAUAGUGAGCUUAAUAGAGACAAAUAGGCUACAGAUAAAAUUCCAUUACAAAGAUGUCACAGAGAGGAGUUCUGUACCAACAGCUAUUUCCUCGUCUGGGCAGACAGCCCACGGAAAGUGUUUGUCUGAUCUAGUUGCAGUGAAUUCUGUGUGAAGAAAAACAAGGGCUUUCUCUGGAUUCUAAAAGUCAGUAUAACAAAAGCAGCAACACUCUUGUGUGCUACUUUGAGUGUCAGGAAAAGACCUGAAUUAAGGUGUGUUUUUUUGGUUUUUUUUUUUUGGUUUUUUUUUUUUUUUUGGUAUAUUAAGAGUGAUAGUUACUUGUUCCCAAUCGUAAAAAUUUUACCAAACAGAAACUGUUUUUACUUCAAAAUCACCAAAACAAAGCUACACAUAUAAAGAUUCUGAACACAGGAUGGAGAAAGGAGAAGAGUUCCCGUCGUGGCUCAGUGGUUAAUGAAUCCGACUAGGAACCAUGGGGUUGCAGGUUCGAUCCCUGGCCUUGCUCAGUGGGUUAAGGAGCCGGCAUUGCCGUGAGCUGUGGUGUAGGUUGCAGACACAGCUCAGAUCCUGCAUUGCUGUGGCCCUGGCGUAGGCCGGUGGCUAUAGCUCCGAUUAGACCCCUAGCCUGGGAACCUCCAUAUUCCGCGGGAGCGGCCCAAGAAAU
rnacentral:lncRNA from 1 species